GAGUCUGCAACCCGACUCCAUGAAGCUGGAUUCGCUAGUAAUCGCGCAUCAGCCACGGCGCGGUGAAUACGUUCCCGGGCCUUGUACACACCGCCCGUCAAGCCAUGGAAGCCGGGAGUACCUGAAGAUCGUGACCGCGAGGAACGGGCUAGGGUAAUACCGGUAACUGGGGCUAAGUCGUAACAAGGUAGC
rnacentral:rRNA from 1 species